UUACGGCCAUUGAAACACCGGUUCUCAUACAAUCACUGAAGUUAGGCAAUGUCAAGCCUGGUCAGUACCAAGAUGGGUAACCGCUUGGGAAUACCAGGUACUGUAA